GAUCAUGGCUCAGAUUGAACGCUGGCGGCAGGCUUAACACAUGCAAGUCGAACGGUAACAUAAAGAAGCUUGCUUCUUUGAUGUACGAGUGGCGGACGGGUGAGUAAUGCUUGGGAAUCUAGCUUAUGGAGGGGGAUAACUACGGGAAACUGUAGCUAAUACCGCGUAAUAUCGAAAGAUUAAAGUGUGGGACCUUCGGGCCACAUGCCAUAGGAUAGAGCCCAAGUGGGAUUAGGUAGUUGGUGAGG
rnacentral:rRNA from 1 species